rnacentral:tRNA from 1 species
AGAAAGGCCGGAAUAG